ensembl:snRNA U2 U2 spliceosomal RNA
AUCGCUUCUCGGCCUUUUGGCUAAGAUCAAGUGUAGUAUCUGUUCUUAUCAGUUUAAUAUCUGAUAUGUCCUCUAUACGAGGACUACAUAUUAAGCCGAUUUUUAGCUCUGGGAGAUGAAAAAGGGGCUUGCUCCGUUCACUCCAAGCACCGACCCCGGUAUUGGCGGCACCUCCGGGGAACGGUGCACCCUUU